rnacentral:tRNA from 1 species
GCCUGGCUGGCUCAGUCAGUAGAGCAUGUGACUCUUGAUCUCACGGUUGUGAGUUUAAUCCCCAUGUUGGGCA